rfam:Blumeria graminis f. sp. hordei DH14, WGS project CATH01000000 data, contig: 002727
GGCCGGGUGGUGUAGCGGUUAUCACAACAGCUUUACAAGUCGGUUGCUCUUUAAAAUCUUGACCAUGUGUUUCGGCCUUCGGGCCGCAUUCACGUAAUCGGUCCUGGUGGAGGGGGUGGCUCCUUUCGCUGUUGGUCGCGAGUUCGAUCCUCGCCCUGGUCA